rnacentral:rRNA from 1 species
GACGAACGCUGGCGGCGUGCUUAACACAUGCAAGUCGAACGGAAAGGCCCUGCUUUUGUGGGGUGCUCGAGUGGCGAACGGGUGAGUAACACGUGAGUAACCUGCCCUUGACUUUGGGAUAACUUCAGGAAACUGGGGCUAAUACCGGAUAGGAGCUCCUGCUGCAUGGUGGGGGUUGGAAAGUUUCGGCGGUUGGGGAUGGACUCGCGGCUUAUCAGCUUGUUGGUGGGGUAGUGGCUUACCAAGGCUUUGACGGGUAGCCGGCCUGAGAGGGUGACCGGCCACAUGGGGACUGAGAUACGGCCCAGACUCCUACGGGGGGCAGCAGGGGGGAAUAUUGCACAAGGGGCGGAAGCCUGAGGCAGCAACGCCGCGUGCGGGAUGACGGCCUUCGGGUGGUAAACCGCUUUCGCCUGUGACGAAGCGUGAGUGACGGUAAUGGGUAAAGAAGCACCGGCUAACUACGU